AAAAUAACAAGGAUUCCCCUAGUAGCGGCGAGUGAAGCGGGAAAAGCUCAAAUUUGUAAUCUGGCGUCUUCGACGUCCGAGUUGUAAUCUCGAGAAGUGUUUUCCGUGAUAGACCGCAUACAAGUCUCUUGGAACAGAGCGUCAUAGUGGUGAGAACCCUCUACACGAUGCGGAUGCCUAUUACUUUGUGAUAUCUUUCUAA
rnacentral:rRNA from 1 species